rnacentral:rRNA from 1 species
UGGGGAAUAUUGGACAAUGGGCGAAAGCCUGAUCCAGCCAUGCCGCGUGUGUGAAGAAGGUCUUCGGAUUGUAAAGCACUUUAAGUUGGGAGGAAGGGCAGUAAGCGAAUACCUUGCUGUUUUGACGUUACCGACAGAAUAAGCACCGGCUAACUCUGUGCCAGCAGCCGCGGUAAUACAGAGGGUGCAAGCGUUAAUCGGAAUUACUGGGCGUAAAGCGCGCGUAGGUGGUUCGUUAAGUUGAAUGUGAAAGCCCCGGGAUCAACCUGGGAACUGCAUCCAAAACUGGCGAGCUAGAGUAGGGCAGAGGGUGGUGGAAUUUCCUGUGUAGCGGUGAAAUGCGUAGAUAUAGGAAGGAACACCAGUGGCGAAGGCAGCCAUCUGGCCUAACACUGACGCUGAGGUACGAAAGCAUGGGGAGCAAACAGG